rnacentral:lncRNA from 1 species
UCAUGUCAAGUUGCUAGUAUUAGGAGCGUUCGGAUGAGGAUGUUUGAUGGGAUAGUGCAGACUCUCACAAAUGUGAAGCACGUCCUUGAUUUAAAGAAGAAUCUUGUGUCCUUGGUUACCUGAAGCAAAGCGGCUAUAGCUUCAGCAAUCAUGCCAGGAGUAGGGUGUUGAACAUCUCAAAUGGAGCCAUGAUAGUGAUGAGAGGUA